CGCCGGGUGUCGCCUUGUCCCGAGGAAUUUUAACGAAACAGUCAUUCAGACUAAGAUUGUGCCGUAUACUGUUUUGCCAGCCUUGACGAUUUUCACGGUAACGCUUGACUUCCCAAUAACAUUGAGCUGCUCAGAUUAUAAUAACUCGAGAGUGGACACAUCGUUGGAAAAAUUUCGUCCAUCAUAAGAAUCUAUACAGUAUUACGUCCAAGGCACAGUAUUAUAUCACACAUAUAUUACUCAUCUGGAUUCACAAUCGAACAUCCUCGAAUUUUCACUCAGGACCAAUUAACAAAGGAUAGAAGCAAGUAUAAAAAG